rnacentral:rRNA from 1 species
GACGAACGCUGGCGGCGUGCUUAACACAUGCAAGUCGAACGGAAAGGCCCUGCUUUUGUGGGGUGCUCGAGUGGCGAACGGGUGAGUAGCACGUGAGUAACCUGCCCUUGACUUUGGGAUAACUUCAGGAAACUGGGGCUAAUACCGGAUAGGAGCUCCUGCUGCAUGGUGGGGGUUGGAAAGUUUCGGCGGUUGGGGAUGGACUCGCGGCUUAUCAGCUUGUUGGUGGGGUAGUGGCUUACCAAGGCUUUGACGGGUAGCCGGCCUGAGAGGGUGACCGGCAACAUUGGGACUGAGAUACGGCCCAGACUCCUACGGGAGGCAGCAGUGGGGAAUAUUGCACAAUGGGCGGAAGCCUGAUGCAGCAACGCCGCGUGCGGGAUGACGGCCUUCGGGUUGUAAACCGCUUUCGCCUGUGACGAAGCGUGAGUGACGGUAAUGGGUAAAGAAGCACCGGCUAACUACGUG